rnacentral:lncRNA from 1 species
UGCCUGGGUCCUUUUGGGUCCAAACUGUUAACAUUUUCCUCCUGUCUCCUUACUUUUUAGCUACUUUAAACAGAAACUUGGACAAAUAGCUGCCAAUAUGUCAAUAUUCUUUUCAUUGCACCUGCCAUCAGCUUCCAGGGAACCCCCUCAGGCCAGCUCUGUCAAGCUUCUGCUGGGGAUAAUCAAAUCUUCCCAUGAAAUUCAGCUUCUGUUGUUUCAUCAGUUAGUAAACCAAGGACAGGGUGAUUUCUCAUCUCCUGAAGCACGAGAGUAGCUACCACGAGCUCACCUACUGCUACUACAUGGGACUGCCUGCAGCGGGCACGAGGCUUAGACAUUAUGGGGACAAUUCAGGUACUGCUUAAGUGCAAAAGCCUUUAUUUCUGACAAAGACAGAGGCCCCGGAAUAGUGUGAGCUUUGGGCUGUGGCAUGAUGGUGGGAUGCAGUACUGCCUCUAGGGUAGUGAGACCUAGAAGUCAUUGCUUCAGCGUAGUGCUUGUCAUUCCCCUUGUGGCAUUCGCAAACCUCCCCAAAGACUCCUUCCUCUGCCAUGGAGGAACACACCAAGCACUCCAUUAAAACAACCCAAAUUAAAGAUAUUGUGGCUAUCCAAGGAGUGUGGCAGGGUCUCUGAUGGGGCUGUAAGCCCUGGUGACUACUGGGCACCCGUGGUGACAACUUACCCCCCACCCCAGGAUGUGCCUCUGAGCCAGUGCCACCCUUGGAUUACUUCCAGCCACGGUCCAGCUCUGCAGAAGAGGCAGACUGGGGCCUAAACAGGCCUUACAUGUGGCUGAUGUGUGCCUUGACUGCCAGCAGCCAGCCCUGCGCAUUACAGUGUUUUCCAGAAAGCUCCUUGGCUGCUUCACUGCAAUGAAGUUUUUAUGGCUAACACUUCAGUAUGGCAACAAGCUAACAAACAGAACAAUUCUGUUAAAAGUGGAGGCAAUUAACAUUCAUGGAAAGAAAUGCAUUGAAGUUGUCAGCUUUCAGGCAAAGAAUAUUACAGCAAUGCCCUCUAGUGUUGCUUUCGUUAAAGUGUGAGUGAAUGCUUGCUGGGAAAGAUCAUGCCGUACAGAAGGCUGCAUCCUUCCUUCUCUGCUUGCAAGAGUAAGCCCUUGACAGAGAGUGCACAAGAGAAAGGUCGAAUUCGUGGUACUUGACCUUUUCCAAGCUGGAUAUUUUUUGCCUGAAAAUAAAAAGAAGUAUGAGUUGAUGAUGUGUGUGUUA